UACGAAGGGGGCUAGCGUUGCUCGGAAUCACUGGGCGUAAAGGGUGCGUAGGCGGGUCUUUUAAGUCAGGGGUGAAAUCCUGGAGCUCAACUCCAGAACUGCCUUUGAUACUGAAGAUCUUGAGUUCGGGAGAGGUGAGUGGAACUGCGAGUGUAGAGGUGAAAUUCGUAGAUAUUCGCAAGAACACCAGUGGCGAAGGCGGCUCACUGGCCCGAUACUGACGCUGAGGCGCGAAAGCGUGGGGAGCAA
rnacentral:rRNA from 1 species